GAUGAACGCUGGCGGCGUGCCUAAUACAUGCAAGUCGAGCGAACAGAUGAGGAGCUUGCUCCUCUGACGUUAGCGGCGGACGGGUGAGUAACACGUGGAUAACCUACCUAUAAGACUGGGAUAACUUCGGGAAACCGGAGCUAAUACCGGAUAAUAUAUUGAACCGCAUGGUUCAAUAGUGAAAGACGGUUUUGCUGUCACUUAUAGAUGGAUCCGCGCCGCAUUAGCUAGUUGGUAGGGUAACGGCUUACCAAGGCAACGCUGCGUAGCCGACCUGAGAGGGUGAUCGGCCGCACUGGAGCUGAGACACGGUCCAGGCGCCUACGGGAGGCAGCAGUAGGGAAUCUUCCGCAAUGGGCGAAAGCCUGGCGGAGCGACGCCGCGUGAGUGAUGAAGGUCUUCGGAUCGUGAAGCUCUGUUAUUAGGGAAGAACAAAUGUGUAAGUAACUAUACACGGCUUGACGGUACCUAAUCAGAAAGCCACGGCUAACUACGUG
rnacentral:rRNA from 1 species